rnacentral:rRNA from 1 species
UACGUAGGGGGCAAGCGUUGUCCGGAAUCAUUGGGCGUAAAGAGCGUGUAGGCGGUUCAGUAAGUCUGCUGUGAAAGUCCAAGGCUCAACCUUGGGAUGCCGGUGGAUACUGCUGAGCUAGAGUACGGAAGAGGCGAGUGGAAUUCCCGGUGUAGCGGUGAAAUGCGCAGAUAUCGGGAGGAACACCUAUUGCGAAGGCAGCUCGCUGGGACGUCACUGACGCUGAGACGCGAAAGCGUGGGGAGCAAACAGG